GCCAGCGUGGCAUAGUUGUUCGAGUGUUGGACUGUGACUGAAGAUUCAGGGUUCAAAUCCCAGCUUGGCC